ACUCCUACGGGAGGCAGCAGUGGGAAUAUUGCACAAUGGGCGCAAGCCUGAUGCAGCCAUGCCGCGUGUGUGAAGAAGGCCUUCGGGUUGUAAAGCACUUUCAGUUGUGAGGAAAGGUUUAGUCGCUAAUAUCGGCUAGCUGUGACGUUAGCUGCAGAAGAAGCACCGGCUAACUCCGUGCCAGCAGCCGCGGUAAUACGGAGGGUGCGAGCGUUAAUCGGAAUUACUGGGCGUAAAGCGCAUGCAGGUGGUUUGUUAAGUCAGAUGUGAAAGCCCCGGCUCAACCUGGGGAAUUUGCAUUUCGACUGGCAGACUAGAGUCUUGUAGAGGUGGUAGAAAUUUUCAGGUGUAGCGGUGAAAUGCGUAGAGAUCUGAAGGAAUACCGGUGGCGAAGGCGACACCCUGGCCAAUAACUGACACUGAGACGCGAAGGCGUGGGUAGCAAACGGGGAUUUAGAUACCCUGGUAGGCUCUG
rnacentral:rRNA from 1 species